GGAGGAAGGGAGGGGUAGAGGCAGGACCUGGUGCUGUGGAAAGAGAGAACUCUUGCUCGUUUUUUCUAGUCAAGACCCAAGUGGACUCUUUGCUGGCUUUGAAAGGAAAGGCAUUUCUGAUGUAGAGGCCCGUCUCGGCUCCUCGGACUCGAACUCUGCUUCCGAAGGUGUCCGUCUCCACAAUGAGCUUUGCUGUCAGAGAAGUGACAGAUUUAUCCCAGGAAAAUUAUGUCUCCUCCUCCAGCUUUGAAGGGAAGUCAGCUACGUCGAUGCAGAAAAAAUGCAGCGAGACAUACUCGAUCCCCCAAACUGGCUCAAGAAGAGGAGAAAGUAUUCAGGAAAUGUUAAAAAAGGUGAAAGUAAGAAGAGUUUUAAUCGCUCUGCCAGACGCGGGGGUCUCUCCAGAGAUUCAGAAAGAACAAUCUUGAACCUCUUUUUUAACAUUUACAGACUUGCAACUCCUUUCAAACUCCACAUCUGAAAAAAAGCUCGUUCUUUUUCUGUUUUAUAUCAUUCUUCAUUUUUCUUCUUAGCUCUUAAAAUGCCUCACCUUUUUAUUACAUUUUAAUAGAG